rnacentral:tRNA from 2 species
GGACCUUUAGCUCAGCUGGUUAGAGCAGUCGGCUCAUAACCGAUCGGUCCUGGGUUCGAGUCCCCGAAGGUCCA